rnacentral:rRNA from 1 species
CAUUCUGUAGCAAUACAGGAUGUGGGCGCGUGGCGAACGGGUGCGUAACACGUGGAUAACCUUCCUUCAGGUGGGGAAUAACCCAGUGAAAAUUGGGCUAAUACCGCAUAACAUCGCGAUGGCACAUGCUGUUGCGUUCAAAGGCGCAAGUCGCCAGAAGAGGGAUCCGCGGCCGAUUAGCUUGUUGGCGAGGUAAUGGCUCACCAAGGCAUUGAUCGGUAGCCGGACUGAGAGGUUGGCCGGCCACACUGGAACUGAGACACGGUCCAGACUCCUACGGGAGGCAGCAGUGGGGAAUCUUGCACAAUGGACGAAAGUCUGAUGCAGCAACGCCGCGUGGGGGAUGAAGCUUCUCGGAGUGUAAACCCCUUUCGACCCGGAAGAAAGCCCGCAAGGGUUUGACGGUACGGGUAUAAGAAGCCCCGGCUAACUACGUGCCAGCAGCCGCGGUAAAACGUAGGGGGCCAGCGUUGCUCGGAAUUACUGGGCGUAAAGGGUCCGUAGGCGGUGUGGCAAGUCGGUAGUGAAAUCUCUGGGCUUAACUCAGAGGCUGCUGCCGAAACUGCUGUGCUAGAGUGCGAGAGAGGCGAGUGGAAUUGCGGGUGUAGCGGUGAAAUGCGUAGAUAUCCGCAGGAACAUCCGAGGCGAAAGCGGCUCGCUGGAUCGCAACUGACGCUGAGGGACGAAAGCUAGGGGAGCAAACAGGAUUAGAUACCCUGGUAGUCCUAGCCCUAAACCAUCAGGACUUGGGGUUUGCCCUGUACGGGGCAAGUCCCGUAGCUAACGCGUUAAGUCCUGCGCCU